rnacentral:rRNA from 1 species
CGCGUAGGUGGGUCGGUAAGUGAGGGGUGAAAUCCCGGGGCUUAACUCCGGAAUGGCCCUUCAGACUGCCGGUCUCGAGUGCGAGAGGGGAAGAUGGAAUUCCUGGUGUAGCGGUGGAAUGCGUAGAUAUCAGGAAGAACACCGGUGGCGAAGGCGGUCUUCUGGCUCGUAACUGACACUGAGGCGCGAAAGCGUGGGGAGCAAACAGGAUUAGAUACCCUGGUAGUCCACGCUGUAAACGAUGAACACUAGGUGUUGGAGGAUUCGACCCCUUCAGUGCCGCAGCUAACGCGUUAAGUGUUCCGCCUGGGGAGUACGGUCGCAAGGCUGAA